GUAGUCCACGCCCUAAACGAUGUCAACUGGUUGUCGGGGAAGCAAUUCCUUGGUAACGAAGCUAACGCGUGAAGUUGACCGCCUGGGGAGUACGGCCGCAAGGUUAAAACUCAAAGGAAUUGACGGGGACCCGCACAAGCGGUGGAUUAUGUGGAUCAAUUCGAUGCAACGCGAAAAACCUUACCUACCCUUGACAUGUACGGAACCCCGCAGAAAUGCGGGGGUGCCCGAAAGGGAGUCGUAACACAGGUGCUGCAUGGCUGUCGUCAGCUCGUGUCGUGAGAUGUUGGGUUAAGUCCCGCAACGAGCGCAACCCUUGUCACUAGUUGCUACAUUCAGUUGGGCACUCUAAUGAGACUGCCGGUGACAAACCGGAGGAAGGUGGGGAUGACGUCAAGUCCUCAUGGCCCUUAUGGGUAGGGCUUCACACGUAAUACAAUGGCCGGUACAGAGGGCUGCCAACCCGCGAGGGGGAGCUAAUCCCAGAAAGCCGGUCGUAGUCCGGAUUGUUCUCUGCAACUCGAGAGCAUGAAGUCGGAAUCGCUAGUAAUCGCGGAUCAGCAUGUCGCGGUGAAUA
rnacentral:rRNA from 1 species